UUUAAAUGGCCGCAGUACCUUGACUGUGCUAAGGUAGCAUAAUCAAUUGGCUUCUAAUUAAAGUCUGGAAUGAAAGGAAAUAUGAAGUAAUUCUAUCUUAAAGGAUUUUUUUUGAAUUUAUUUAAAUGAUGAAAAUAUCAUUUUAUAGAAAAAAGACGAGAAGACCCUUAGAGUUUUGAUAUUUAUAUAUUUUUGUUGGGGCGACAGGUAAACAUAUAACUUUACGAAUUAUCAUAUUGAUCGAUUUUUUAUAAGAAUAAUAAAACUACCUUAGGGAUAACAGCAUUAUAUUUUUUUAUGAUUGUGACCUC
rnacentral:rRNA from 1 species